GACGAACGCUGGCGGCGUGCUUAACACAUGCAAGUCGAACGAAGUGGCGAACGGGUGAGUAACGCGUAAUCAACCUGCCCUUCAGGGGGGGACAACAGUUGGAAACGACUGCUAAUACCGCAUACUGAAGGAGGGGAUUGCGUCGGAUUAGCUCGUUGGAGGGGUAACGGCCCACCAAGGCGAUGAUUAGUAGACGGGCUGAGGGGGUGAACGGGCAAAUUGGGAAGGAGACACGGCCCAGACUCCUACGGGAGGGAGCAGUGGGGAAUCUUCCGCAAUGGACGAAAGUCUGACGGAGCAACGCCGCGGGAGUGAUGACGGCCUUCGGGUUGUAAAGGUCUGUUAAUCGGGACGCGGUACCGGAAGAGAAAGCCACGGCUAACUACGUGCCAGCAGCCGCGGUAAUAC
rnacentral:rRNA from 1 species